rnacentral:rRNA from 1 species
CUGCAACUCAACUACAUGAAGCUGGAAUCGCUAGUAUGCGUAGAUCAGCAUGCUACGGUGAAUACGUUCCCGGGUCUUGUACACACCGCCCGUCACACCACGAGAGUUUGUAACACCCGAAGCCGGUGGAGUAACCUUUUAGGAGCUAGCCGUCGAAGGUGGGACAAAUGAUUGGGGUGAAGUCGUAACAAGGUAGCCGUAUCGGAAGGUGCGGCUGGAUCACCUCCUUUCUAAGGA